rnacentral:rRNA from 1 species
GACGAACGCUGGCGGCGUGCUUAACACAUGCCAGUCGAACGGAAAGGCCCUGCUUUUGUGGGGUGCUCGAGUGGCGAACGGGUGAGUAACACGUGAGUAACCUGCCCUUGACUUUGGGAUAACUUCAGGAAACUGGGGCUAAUACCGGAUAGGAGCUCCUGCUGCAUGGGGGGGGUUGGAAAGUUUCGGCGGUUGGGGAUGGACUCGCGGCUCAUGAGCUUGUUGGGGGGGUAGUGGCUUACCAAGGCUUUGACGGGUAGCCGGCCUGGGAGGGUGACCGGCCACAUUGGGACUGAGAUACGGCCCAGACUCCUACGUGCGGCAGCAGUGGGGAAUAUUGCACAAUGGGCGGAAGCCUGAUGCAGCAACGCCGCGUGCGGGAUGACGGCCUUCGGGUUGUAAACCGCUUUCGCCUGUGACGAAGCGUGAGUGACGGUAAUGGGUAAAGAAGCACCGGCUAACUACGUG